rnacentral:lncRNA from 1 species
AUGGCCCAUCAGAACCACCUACAAAUACAUUUUCUGGAAUAUAUUAAAGGAAAAAAAGCAAAGAAACUACACGGCAUCAAAAUACAGGUAAGUGGCUGGGAGGGGGAGAUAGUACACGUAGUUCAGAUAAUCCUAUAUGUAUACAAGGAGCCCAAAGCAGUGCUCAUCAAUAAACUCACUUGGGACAGAGACAUGGUCAAUAAUAUGACCAUGCAAGGUGAUGCAUCCUUUUUAUAUAUAUUUUUUAAAGCAGUACAUAGAUCUUUGGGAGAGAGACAUGGAGUACAGAAGAGAAGCAUGGAGUGGUCUAAAUGGUGAAUGAAGAUACAUCACAUGGUAAAUGGCCAAGAUGAAUCUUUAACCUCUAAGACAGCAAUUUUCAAGAGUUACCUGCACAAUCAACCAUUUGUAUGCCAUCAUUCCCUCACUUUUAUUAUACAAGUUACUGGAAUCGGAAAAUCUAAAUCUUGCAACUGAGAGGGACUAUGGAUAAGAGGUGGAGAUGAGGUGAGAUCAUGGUGGGCACAGGGAUGGAGACCAAAGAGAAACACAGACACAAUUAAUUAUUCUUUCCCUAUUUUAAAUUGGAAGUAAGGUAUUUUAAUUGUAGAAUUGUG